AUGGCGCGGCAGCGAAUGGCUUCGGGCGCCGCCAUCUUCACGAGGACGAGGCUCGCCUCCUUUUCGAGGCCGAGUACCCGGUCCCGCCGAACAUGCGGGUGCCCGGGGCUUGGAGGAUCAGCGCCGGCGGCGUGCCGGUGCCACCGCCACCCACCAGGGCGGCGAGGCGUGCGGAGAUCACACGUAUCCGCGCGUCCCUGCCGCGGGCGGCGAGGGAGGGGCCACGAAACGUCCCCGACAGCUCGCUCUGGGAGCCCUACUUCCGCCGCCGUUACGCCGAGCAGCUCGAGGUCACCAACGGCGUCGUGCCCUCCAGUAGGCUCAACUCCGAGGGUCGUCGCCGGUGGUGGGGCGUGCCCGGUCGCACGUUGGAGGCCGUCCUCGAGUACAUCGAGGGCGGCAACACGCCGCGCCUCGAGUACCCCGCUCCCCAUCCUUCUCACGCCGUCGUGGAAGCUCCUGGACGCCGAAGCGCAUGGAGCGGCCCGGGGCGUCCUCCUCCUCGCCCGGCCGCUCGUCGGGCUCUCCCUGCCUCCGCCCCGUCAAGCCGGAGCCCCAGGACAUGCCUGUCAGCGCGUGUACCCGCAACUCCGGCGUCCGCAUCGGCGACUCCGCACCCCCACCGGCCGCUUCGUCCUCGUUGAGCCCAAGCCGGAGCCCGGCCUCCCCGCAGAGUACGAGGAGAUAGCCCCGCGCGGCUUUUCCGAUGAGGACGCCCUGCAGUGGGCGCGGGACGACUACCUCCGCGACGAGAUGGUCCGACAGUGCCGGGCCCUGGAGGAGAUCGCCGCCCGCAAGCGUGGGCGCGAGGACGAGCACGGCAUCGUCGUCCUCGACAGCGACGACGACGAUGACGCCCCCAGACCGUCCAACCUGCCGCGCCAACCGGGGAAGGGAUGCAGCAGGGACGGCAGCGGCGGAGGCGGGGACGCCGCCGCCGCCGCUGCCGCCGCCGACGACGGCGGCGACUACACGCGCUUCUACCGCCUCCUCGGCAUGUAG
rnacentral:rRNA from 1 species